GGAUACGGCCAUACUGCGCUAGAAAGCACCGCUUCCCAUCCGAACAGCGAAGUUAAGCUGCGCCAGGCGGUGUUAGUACUGGGGUGGGCGACCACCCGGGAAUCCACCGUGCCGUAUCCUUUU
rnacentral:rRNA from 1 species